rnacentral:lncRNA from 1 species
GUUUUAUGUGAACCAGCGAUUCUUUCCAAUGACGUGAGCCAAUCCUAACAGUAAAAUUUAUAUGGUUGCUUCUAAGUUACUGCAAUUUUUUAAUCACUAAAUUUUUGAAGAGUAUGUUUAAUUUUGCUGGCUAAGUUUGGACCAAUAUAUACGAAAUACUCAUUAAAUUUUGUUGCCACCGAUGUUGCCACCGAUCAGAGAUCUGUGUGCCGUCUGCAUUAAUCACGCUUGUAAAAUAAUUAUUCUAUGUCUGGAGAAAAUACCAAAAAGCGAGGGACACAAUGUGUUGCAUUUGGUUGCAAUAAAAGAAAACAUGGUGGUAGUAAAAGAAGUGAUAGUGAUGGAAUCUCUGAUGAUGAAUCAUCCUUAAAACGAAAGUUUCCUAAAACAUUUCAUAGAUUUACUUUAAACACUGAAUAAAUGAAGGAAUGGACCAUCAAAAUACACUGUCAAGAAUGGAGUCCAAGUAGUAGCAGUUUGAUAUGUUCUGAUCAUUUUUAAGAAAAAGAUAUUGACAGAACUGGACAAACUGUUAGGUUAAGGGAAAAUUCUUUUCCUAAAAGAUUUAAAAAAUUCUUUGACUUCUUAAAAAGGUAUAUGCUCAAUUAUGUUUUUAUGCAUUGCACAGGUUUGUUCAAUAUGUACCUUUUAGUUCUUAAUUACCCUAUGCAGUGUGCUAGAGGGUUUAUAACACAACUGUAUGGUAAGCAGCUAUAACAUAUAAUAACCAUUUUGCUACUGCAUGCUUUUAUUUUAUAAAUGCUGCAUAAACUAUUAGCUAAGCUCUGUGAGUAAACACAACUUAGAGGUUCCUUCUAGUUAGAUAUAAUAUUUAAUAUAAAAAUUAUACAGCUAUAUAUAAAUAUAUAUUUUUUCUUUUAAUAUUAGAAUAUGAAAGAGAGAAAAGUUCCUGUUAGUAGGUUAACUUUUGAAAGUUCUGAAAAAAGUGAUUUGGAAACAAGUGUUAUACCUUUCAGAAUGAACGUUGGCUCCCUCAAAAUAAUAUAUAUAUAACUGCAGUUUAACUUCAGAAAAACAAAUAACAGAUCGUAGAAACAAGAUAAUUGAAAAAGCGGAACAGCAAAAAUCUCGAAUAAUGAAAAAAAAAAAAAACAUCUUUUAAAUCAGUAGUAAAAAUAUUAGUCAAAAACAAAAACUAUCAUCAAAUUGUGAAGAAAUGCUUUUAAAAACAUUUUCAGAAGUUCCUCAGGCUCUAACCUGAAGAAUGAUUAUGCAUAAAAAUCAUGGUAAAGGAUUUAAAUAUUCAGAUGAAAUCAAAUCCUUUGCACUUACCCUGCAGUUUUAUUCAAGCAAAGCUUAUGAAUAUGUGCAAAAAACAUUUAAUUUUAAUUUACCACAUCAAGCACAAAUAAGGAAAUGGCAUGGAAAAGUUUCAGCAAAACCAGAUUUUACAAAGCCAGCUUUUGCAGCACUUAAAUACAAGGUUAUAGAAGCUGACAAAUUAGGAUCUAAAGUCAUUUGCUCACUUAUGUUAGAUGAAAUGGCCAUUAAAAAAUACAUCUUGGGAUGGAAAAGAAUUUAAGGGGUAUGUUGAUCUUGGGAAUGGUAUACAAGAUAAUUCAUCCCCGGUUGCAAAAGAUGCCCUAGUUCUCAUGGCUGUUAGUAUAAACAGUUCAUGGAAAGUUCCAUGCGGAUACUUUUUUAUAGAUAGGUUAAAUGGUGCCGAACGAGCAAACAUUGUAAAAUUAUGUAUUAAACGAUUGACAGAUGUCGGUGUCGAAGUCAUAUCAUUAACAUGUGAUGGACCCUCAUGUCACAUUUCGAUGUUAUCAGACCUUGGUGUUUCAAUUGAUGCUUGGAAAAUAAACACUUCUUUCACCCAUCCUCUCAACCCUGAUAAAAAAGUUCAUACUCUCCUCAAUAUUUGCCACAUGUUUAAGCUAAUUCGGAAUUGCUUCAUAGAUGGUGAUGUUUUGUUUGAUAGCAAAAACAAUGCAAUUUCAUGGAAAUAUAUAGUUUAUCUAUUAUAGUUUGAAAUAUACAGUUUUAGAAAGUUUA